rnacentral:rRNA from 1 species
GAUGAACGCUGGCGGCGUGCCUAAUACAUGCAAGUCGAGCGAACGGACGAGAAGCUUGCUUCUCUGAUGUUAGCGGCGGACGGGUGAGUAACACGUGGAUAACCUACCUAUAAGACUGGGAUAACUUCGGGAAACCGUAGCUAAUACCGGAUAAUAUUUUGAACCGCAUGGUUCAAUAGUGAAAGACGGUCUUGCUGUCUCGUAUAGAUGGAUCCGCGCUGCAUUAGCUGGUUGGUACGGUAACGGCUUACCAAGGCAACGAUGCAUAGCCGACCGCAGAGAGGGGUCGGCGGCACGGGAGCUGGGACGCGGUCCAGGCGCCUACGGGAGGCAGCAGUAGCGAAUCGUACGCAGAGGGCGGGAGCCUGACGGAACGACGCCGCGUGAGUGAUGGAAGUCUUCGGAGCGUAAAACUCUGUUAUGAGUGAAGAACAUAUGUGGACUGAACUGUAGACAGAUUGACGGUACCGAGUCAGAAAGCCACGGCUAACUACGUG